ACCAGGGUAUUUUGAUAUAAUAUACAUAUAAAAAUAUUUAAAAAAUUUUCAUACGUAUCGCUGUUUAUAAAAUUUCCGCCCACUAUUUAUCGCUAUUCGCUAUGUGUCUUAUAGGUACCUUAUCGCUAUUUGUCGCUAUUCGCAAUUAACAACUAUGGGUGCCCUCGGAUGUUGGUGGAGUUGCUAGAGCACGAGCUUUUGCUAAAAAGUUAUCUGAUGCGCCAUUGACCAUUGUUGAUAAGCGGCGUCAUGGGCACAAUGUAGCUGAAGUAACGAAUUUGAACGGUGAUGUGAAAGGUAAAGUAGCAGUUAUGGUGGAUGACAUGAUCGAUACUGCUGGUACUAUUGCCAAAGGAGCAGACCUGUUGCAUCGUGAAGGGGAAGGGGCAUGGAAGUUUAUGCAUA